AUGAUAUAACACUGCGACAUAUAUUUAGAACAUAAAGAUGAUGAGUGU
rnacentral:guide_RNA from 1 species